GAUGAACGCUAGCGGCAGGCCUAAUACAUGCAAGUCGAACGGUGUCUUCGGACAUAGUGGCGCACGGGUGCGUAACACGUAUGCAACCUACCUUACAUUGGGGGAUAGCCUUUCGAAAGGGAGAUUAAUACCGCAUAAGACAGUAGCUGGGCAUCCAUCAGCUGUUAAAGAUUUAUCGAUGUAAGCUGGGCAUGCGUCCAAUUAGCUAGUCGGUGAGGUAACGGCUCACCAAGGCAAUGAUUGGUAGGGGAACUGAGAGGUCAAUCCCCCACACUGGCACUGAGAUACGGGCCAGACUCCUACGGGAGGCAGCAGUAGGGAAUAUUGGGCAAUGGACGCAAGUCUGACCCAGCCAUGCCGCGUGCAGGAUGAAGGCGUUAUGCGUUGUAAACUGCUUUUAUACAGGAAGAAACGACUCUUGCGAGAGGCAUUGACGGUACUGUAUGAAUAAGCACCGGCUAACUCCGUGCCAGCAGCCGCGGUAAGAC
rnacentral:rRNA from 1 species